CUUUUAUACUGCGCAUGCGCGAGCUAAACAAGUGUAAUGCAGUGUUGACAAUAGAAAAUUAUAUUGGGAAGUUGUCAUUUCUACAGUAAAAACAGCUUUUUUUUCAAGUAGUACGAAUUGUGACUUCGAUUUAUCUGUGGAACUAUUUGAACAGAAGGUAAAGCAGUAAUUUUGUUGUAUUUAGAAAGCAAACAGAGUCAUAUUUUUAAAAAUAUAGCGCACUGAAUAUAAAUUUGAGCAUCAUUAAAAUGUGUUCGCUAUGAUGCCAUUUUGUCACCGGUAUAUACGGAGUUCUGCUUUUAUACUUGUGGAUAUUCGAAUUUAUUUGGCUCAAAAACACCAUUACUUCAAUAUCCCUUUCUUGUUUUUCCUUGGAUAGGUUUUAACAAGAUAGAACUCUAGAUCCCUUGGGUCCAAAUAUAAAAUCCUGAUGUGACUUGAUACUACAAAUAGAAUAUGUCUUAUGAUUUAAUACUACAAAUAAAAUGUCUUUUAAGUACAAACUUCAAUGAAUUGAUAAAGUGUAAGGAUAGUGUUUAAAGUUGCUUCAUGUGUAGAAGCUGAAUUACUUUAGAUUAUACAUGUAUAUUGUCGAGAUCACAUGUUGAUAUGACUUACAACAACUUGCAAUAAGUGGUCUGUUCUGCUUGUUUAUAAUACUUUAGAGUUUGGACAUUAGAACAUUGUAAUUGCCUGACAGAGACUGUUAGGGCCUGUUUGUAUGGAAGCCGGGCUGGCCCGCUUAGCAAGACAGCCCGGUAAGGUAGGUAAGCAGGAUGAUUUCUCUUGUGUUUAUUUGAGAAAAUUUCAUUCCGCUUACCGGGACAAUUUUGUUGUUUUGACAUUAUUUUGACAGUUGUUAAAAAUAGCUUGCGGCAGUAUCUUUGAACUUUCAUCCCGGCAACUGGGCUAGCCUGCUUAUGAUUGUUUAUGUGGAGAAAUUUCCAUCCUGGUCUUGGCAACCGGGCCUUGUACAAUACCUUUUUGAAAUUGUUGAUACUGGUCUCAUUGUAACUCAGUAGUCUCAGUUAUUCCUUCUCAAGAAAAAUAAAAAAACAAAGCUGUG
rnacentral:lncRNA from 1 species